GACGAACGCUGGCGGCGUGGAUUAGGCAUGCAAGUCGAACGGUAUCAUCCUUUCGGGGGUGAGAGAGUGGCGAACUGGUGAGUAACACGUAGGUUAUCUACCCUCAAGACGGGGACAACCCAGGGAAACUUGGGCUAAUACCGGAUGUGAGCAACUUUUAGUUGUUUGAAAGGUGGCGUAAGCUGUCGCUUGGGGAUGAGCCUGCGUCCUAUUAGUUAGUUGGUGAGGUAACGGCUCACCUAGGCAAUGAUAGGUAGGCGGCCUUAACGGGUGGUCGCCCACACUGGGAUUGAGAUACGGCCCAGACUCCUACGGGAGGCAGCAGUCGAGAAUAGUCUACAAUGGUCGGAAGACUGAUAGUGCGACGCCGCGUGAACGAUGAAUCCCGUUCGGGGGUGUAAAGUUUCUUUUAUAUGUGAGCAGUGCUUCUUAUAUUAACAGUAUGGGGAAGAGAUAUUAGCAUAUGAAUAAGCAACGGCUAACUCCGUGCCAGCAGCCGAGGUAAAA
rnacentral:rRNA from 1 species